rnacentral:tRNA from 1 species
GCUUAGGUAGCUUAUUUAGAGCUUGACAUUGAAGAUGUUAAGGAGGUUUAUUAACCCUUAAGCA